rnacentral:lncRNA from 1 species
GGGCCGGGUCCCGGGGGUGGCGGGGCUGAGCUCCGGGCGGCUCCGCGCUCCCGGGGCUGCCCUGAGCUGGAGGUGGGAGCUGGGCUACACCUCCCUCCCUGCCCACAGCCCUCCGGGGCAAAGGCAACCACAGGUACAAUUUGCUGAUGGAUUAUACGGACAAAUAAAAAAAAUUACAAAAAUAUAUUCAGUGCUGAUAUUCAGGGAACUGUAAGAAAUAUAAACUAAUCCAGGCUUGUUAAAAUAGGUUUUUCUUCCCUAUUCUUUAGGUGUUUAUAAAAAUCGUAUUGGGUCAGGGAGAAAUUAUCUUGACAUAACUUGUUUGUUUUUUUUUUUUCAUUUUAAUACUUUUGAAGUUGAAGAGCAGAUGAAUUUAUGCGAUGUGAAAUUUAUUUUGUAAAUAUUAAAAUUUUACUAGAUAAUGUUCUUAAGAUAUUUGAUAUUUAUUAAAUCCUCUUCUAUUAAGGAAAAAAAAGUAUAUUUACAAAUCACCCAUGGGUUGAAAAUUUUUUAACUGUAAGUAUAAUACAAAUAACCUCUGUGACUUCCUAAAGAUUCAUAAGGAUUAACUAGAGACUGUAGACUUUAAAAAAAAUAAUAAUAUUAGGAGUUACCAUGCUGUGUAUUCUACACAGAAAAAAAAAAAAUUCUUAGUAAGUUAGCCUAAGACUUUGGAGCAGCCUACCACAACCCAAGGUAAGUAGGUUCCCUUAUAAUUGUAUUUUCCAUCAAUAUUUUGCAGUUUCUUUUUAGAAUCAGUGUCUUCUUUCAGCCUUCAGCUUUGGGAUUUAUUUCACCAGAUCUGCCAGUUUUCCCAUUCUCCAUGUAUUUUGGUGUUUAGAAGUUCCUUAUCUUCACAGCAAUAACUUAAAACAUACCAUGUUCCCUGAGCAUCUGCAGAGUGAAUGGAGGAGGCAAACAGCGUGGCAUGGGAGAGGAAAUACAACCCAUGGAAAGGGGUCCUGGUCCUCUCAGAUGCUACGGAGGAAACUGUUUUAGUGGGCAAACACAGUAAACCACCCCAGAAACCAGUGCACAAACAACAGAAAACUGAAAAAUAUUUUAUUCAGCUCUUUAUCACAGUUCAAUUAUGGAAUGAAGAUAUCUCAUAA